rnacentral:piRNA from 1 species
CUGUAGAAGACAUCACUGAACGG